CAGUGAUAUUGUUGGCUUUUUUCAAAACUACCUCUACCCUUUUUUAUUGGGAAAAUAUGUUUAAUUUUCAUCAAAUUGGGAAAUUUAGAAUAAAUCAUAAAUUUGACUGAAACUUCAAUUUACUUUCAAGAGUCAAACCCUGCUUUGAAAUAACACCCCUUUUUGUCAGUGAUGAUACACACAUAGACCCUCAAAUCUGCACAUGUAGUAAUU
rnacentral:lncRNA from 1 species